rnacentral:misc_RNA from 1 species
GAUGAAGAACGCAGCGAAAUGCGAUAAGUAGUGUGAAUUGCAGAAUUCAGUGAAUCAUCGAAUCUUUGAACGCACAUUGCGCCCCUUGGUAUUCCGAGGGGCAUGCCUAUUCGAGCGUCAUUAUCACCCCUCAAGCCUAGCUUGGUGUUGAGGCCUGCUGUCAAGGCAGCCUCUAAAAUCAGAGGCAGUGCUGUCAGGCUCUAAGCGUAGUAAAUCUAAUCGCUAUAGACACCUGGUGGACACUCGCCAGAACCCCCCCAUUUUUUAAUGAUUGACCUCGGAUUAGGUAGGGAUACCCGCUGAACUUAAGCAUAUCAAUAAGCGGAGGA